rnacentral:rRNA from 1 species
GUGAGGAAUAUUGCACAAUGGGCGAAAGCCUGAUGCAGCAACGCCGCGUGAGUGAUGAAGGCCUUUGGGUCGUAAAACUCUGUCCUUGGGGAAGAAAAAAAUGACGGUACCCUUGGAGGAAGCCCCGGCUAACUACGUGCCAGCAGCCGCGGUAAUACGUAGGGGGCAAGCGUUAUCCGGAAUUAUUGGGCGUAAAGAGUGCGUAGGUGGUUUUGUAAGCGUAGGGUGAAAGGCAGUAGCUCAACUAUUGUUAGCCCUGCGAACUGUGAGACUUGAGUGCAGGAGAGGAAAGUGGAAUUCCUAGUGUAGCGUUGAAAUGCGUAGAUAUUAGGAGGAACACCAGUGGCGAAGGCGACUUUCUGGACUGUAACUGACACUGAGGCACGAAAGCGUGGGUAGCAAACAGGAUUAGAAACCCGUGUAGUCC